AGUGAACGCUGGCGGUAGGCCUAACACAUGCAAGUCGAACGGCAGCACAGGAGAGCUUGCUCUCUGGGUGGCGAGUGGCGGACGGGUGAGGAAUACAUCGGAAUCUACUCUGUCGUGGGGGAUAACGUAGGGAAACUUACGCUAAUACCGCAUACGACCUACGGGUGAAAGCAGGGGAUCUUCGGACCUUGCGCGAUUGAAUGAGCCGAUGUCGGAUUAGCUAGUUGGCGGGGUAAAGGCCCACCAAGGCGACGAUCCGUAGCUGGUCUGAGAGGAUGAUCAGCCACACUGGAACUGAGACACGGUCCAGACUCCUACGGGAGGCAGCAGUGGGGAAUAUUGGACAAUGGGCGCAAGCCUGAUCCAGCCAUACCGCGUGGGUGAAGAAGGCCUUCGGGUUGUAAAGCCCUUUUGUUGGGAAAGAAAUCCAGCUGGCUAAUACCCGGUUGGGAUGACGGUACCCAAAGAAUAAGCACCGGCUAACUUCGUGCCAGCAGCCGCGGUAAUACGAAGGGUGCAAGCGUUACUCGGAAUUACUGGGCGUAAAGCGUGCGUAGGUGGUCGUUUAAGUCCGUUGUGAAAGCCCUGGGCUCAACCUGGGAACUGCAGUGGAUACUGGGCGACUAGAGUGUGGUAGAGGGUAGCGGAAUUCCUGGUGUAGCAGUGAAAUGCGUAGAGAUCAGGAGGAACAUCCAUGGCGAAGGCAGCUA
rnacentral:rRNA from 1 species